CUACAUCUGCUUGGUGAUCGUGUUGAAGAAGCACUAACAGAGCUGGAUGGCUGCUGCCAGAAUUCUAGACUUUCAGAGCCUUUCAGGAUGGGGAACUAAUGAGAAGACACUGAUCAACAUUUUAGCGCAUAGAAAUGCCACCCAAAGAAAGCAGAUUCAGUUGGCUUAUGAGGAAUUGUACAACGAGAGUCUCACCAAAAAGCUCGAAUCAGAACUGAAAGGAAACUUUGAGGUGGUUAUUUUUCUCAACCUUUAUUGUCCAAUGAAUGUUUUUAUCUGUAGGGGCAACAUCAUUUGCAGAAGCUAAUAUUAAUUAUUUGAAAAUUUU